GAUGAACGCUGGCGGCGUGCCUAAUACAUGCAAGUCGAGCGAACGGACGAGAAGCUUGCUUCUCUGAUGUUAGCGGCGGACGGGUGAGUAACACGUGGAUAACCUACCUAUAAGACUGGGAUAACUUCGGGAAACCGGAGCUAAUACCGGAUGAUAUUUUGAACCGCAUGGUUCAAAAGUGAAAGACGGUCUUGCUGUCACUUAUAGAUGGAUCCGCGCUGCAUUAGCUAGUUGGUAAGGUAACGGCUUACCAAGGCAACGAUGCAUAGCCGAACUGAGAGGGUGAUCGGCCACACUGGAACUGAGACACGGUCCAGACUCCUACGGGAGGCAGCAGUAGGGAAUCUUCCGCAAUGGGCGAAAGCCUGACGGAGCAACGCCGCGUGAGUGAUGAAGGUCUUCGGAUCGUAAAACUCUGUUAUUAGGGAAGAACAUAUGUGUAAGUAACUGUGCACAUCUUGACGGUACCUAAUCAGAAAGCCACGGCUAACUACGUG
rnacentral:rRNA from 1 species